GAUGAACGCUGGCGGCAUGCCUAACACAUGCAAGUCGAACGAAGCUGCUCGGAAAGAGAUUUCGGUCAAUUGAAGAGUAGACUUAGUGGCGAACGGGUGAGUAAUGCAUGAGCAACCUGCCCUUCAGUGGGGGAUAACAGCCGGAAACGACUGCUAAUACCGCAUAACAUUUUCGAGAGGCAUCUCUUGAAAAUAAAAGAUUUAUUGCUGAAGGAUGGGCUCAUGUCUGAUUAGUUAGUUGGUGAGGUAACGGCUCACCAAGACCGCGAUCAGUAGCCGGUCUGAGAGGAUGAACGGCCACAUUGGGACUGAGAUACGGCCCAGACUCCUACGGGAGGCAGCAGUGGGGAAUAUUGGGCAAUGGGCGAAAGCCUGACCCAGCAAUGCCGCGUGAAGGAAGAAGGCCUUCGGGUUGUAAACUUCUUUUAUCAGGGACGAAGAAAGUGACGGUACCUGAUGAAUAAGCUCCGGCUAACUACGUGCCAGCAGCCGCCGUAA
rnacentral:rRNA from 1 species